rnacentral:lncRNA from 10 species
GCUCUCCCUCGGGUGCGGUGAGUUCUGUGUUCCACGGAGGGGACUCCACGCGUGACAUUCCAAUCAGGGAGAACAGGGCCUGCCCUCACUUUCCCAUAGACAGAAGUUCCCGGGAGGCUGGGGAAGGACCUUGCCACUGGGGUCCUCUCUCAGGAGUGCACGAAGUUCAAGGUCAGCAGCUGCCGGGAAUGCAUCGAGUCGGGGCCCGGCUGCACCUGGUGCCAGAAGCUGGGAGCGGCUUUGGGUCCUCCAGCCCACGCCACCGCGGCGAGCAGUCCCCGGAGGAGAAGCCGGGUGGCUCCCGUCUGUCCUCGGACUGAGCAGGGUGGCCAGGCCCCAGGUGGAAACUACCUUGGUCAGGCUGGGUUUUUUCCCUCCCCUUUCUGGAGGUUUUCAGCUCCUCUGAAAUAAACACCUUUCAGUGAGA